rnacentral:rRNA from 1 species
GACGAACGCUGGCGGCGUGCUUAACACAUGCAAGUCGUACGGUAAGGCCCUUUCGGGGGUACACGAGUGGCGAACGGGUGCGUAACACGUGAGUAACCUGCCCACAACUUUGGGAUAACGCUAGGAAACUGGUGCUAAUACUGGAUAUGUGCUCCUGCUUCAUGGUCGGGGUUGGAAAGCUCCGGCGGUUGUGGAUGGACUCGCGGCCUAUCAGCUUGUUGGUGGGGUAGUGGCCUACCAAGGCGGCGGCGGGUAGCCGGCCUGAGAGGGUGACCGGCCAUAUUGGGACUGAGAUACGGCCCAGACUCCUACGGGAGGCAGCAGGGGGGAAUAUUGAACAAUGGGCGCAGGCCUGAUGCAGCAACGCCGCGUGCGGGAUAACGGCCUUCGGGUUGUAAACCGCUUUCAGCAGGGACGAAGCUCUUUGUGACGGUACCUGCAGAAGAAGCACCGGCUAACUACGUG